rnacentral:rRNA from 1 species
UGAGGCGAACGAGGGGAACUGAAACAUCUAAGUACCCUUAGGAAAAGAAAUCAACCGAGAUUCCCCAAGUAGCGGCGAGCGAACGGGGAUUAGCCCUUAAGUCUUUGGGGUGUUAGUGGAAUGUGUUGGAAAGCACAGCGGCACAGGGUGAUAGCCCCGUACAUGUAAACUAACCAGAGAUGAAAUCGAGUAAGGCGGCACACGUGAUAUGUUGUCUGAAUAUGGGGGGACCAUCCUCCAAGGCUAAAUACUCCUGACUGACCGAUAGUGAACCAGUACCGUGAGGGAAAGGCGAAAAGAACCCCUGUGAGGGGAGUGAAAUAGAACCUGAAACCGUAUACGUACAAGCAGUGGAAGCGGUUCUUGAGACCGUGACUGCGUACCUUUUGUAUAAUGGGUCAGCGACUUACAUUUAGUAGCGAGGUUAAGCGAAUAGCGGAGCCGUAGGGAAACCGAGUGUUAACUGCGCGUAUAGUUGCUAGGUGUAGACCCGAAACCCGGUGAUCUAGCCAUGGGCAGGUUGAAGGUUGAGUAACAUCAACUGGAGGACCGAACCGACUAAUGUUGAAAAAUUAGCGGAUGACUUGUGGCUGGGGGUGAAAGGCCAAUCAAACCGGGAGAUAUCUGGUUCUCCUCGAAAGCUAUUUAGGUAGCGCCUCGGACGAACACCUUUGGGGGUAGAGCACUGUUAAGGCUAGGGGGUCAUCCCGACUUACCAACCCUUUGCAAACUCCGAAUACCAAAGAGUGCUAUCCGGGAGACAGACGGCGGGUGCUAACGUCCGUCGUCAAAAGGGAAACAACCCAGACCGUCAGCUAAGGUCCCAAAGUAAUUGCUAAGUGGGAAACGAUGUGGGAAGGCUUAGACAGCUAGGAUGUUGGCUUAGAAGCAGCCAUCAUUUAAAGAAAGCGUAAUAGCUCACUAGUCGAGUCGGCCUGCGCGGAAGAUGUAACGGGGCUAAGCAAUUCACCGAAGCUACGGGUACUGAUGCUUGCAUCAGUGCGGUAGAGGAGCGUUCUGUAAGCCGUUGAAGGCGAAGGGGUAACCCACGCUGGAGGUAUCAGAAGUGCGAAUGCUGACAUGAGUAACGAUAAAGGGGGUGAAAAACCCCCUCGCCGAAAGACCAAGGGUUCCUGUCCAACGUUAAUCGGGGCAGGGUGAGUCGACCCCUAAGGCGAGGCUGAAAGGCGUAGUCGAUGGGAAACGGGUUAAUAUUCCCGUACUUCUGCUAACUGCGAUGGAGAGACGGAGAAGGCUAGGCCGGCGCGGCGUUGGUUGUCCGCGUUUAAGGUAGUAGGUGGUGUGCUUAGGCAAAUCCGGGCACACAUACACUGAGAGCUGAUGACGAGUCCCUACGGGGAUGAAGUGGUUGAUGCCAUGCUUCCAGGAAAAUCUUCUAAGCUUCAGGUUAGCAGGAAUCGUACCCCAAACCGACACANUGUCCGCGUUUAAGGUAGUAGGUGGUGUGCUUAGGCAAAUCCGGGCACACAUACACUGAGAGCUGACGACGAGUCCCUAAGGGGAUGAAGUGGUUGAUGCCAUGCUUCCAGGAAAAUCUUCUAAGCUUCAGGUUAGCAGGAAUCGUACCCCAAACCGACACAGGUGGUCGGGUAGAGAAUACCAAGGCGCUUGAGAGAACUCGGCUGAAGGAACUAGGCAAAAUGGUACCGUAACUUCGGGAGAAGGUACGCUCCUGUUGGUGACGAGACUUGCUCUCUGAGCUGACGGGAGUCGCAGAUACCAGGUGGCUGCAACUGUUUAUCAAAAACACAGCACUGUGCAAAAUCGCAAGAUGACGUAUACGGUGUGACGCCUGCCCGGUGCCGGAAGGUUAAUUGAUUGGGUUAUCUUCGGAGAAGCUCAUGAUCGAAGCCCCGGUAAACGGCGGCCGUAACUAUAACGGUCCUAAGGUAGCGAAAUUCCUUGUCGGGUAAGUUCCGACCUGCACGAAUGGCGUAAUGAUGGCCACGCUGUCUCCAGCCGAGACUCAGUGAAGUUGAAAUUGCGGUGAAGAUGCCGUAUACCCGCGGCUAGACGGAAAGACCCCGUGAACCUUUACUAUAGCUUGGCACUGAACAUUGACCCUACAUGUGUAGGAUAGGUGGGAGACUAUGAAGAUGAGACGCCAGUCUUGUUGGAGUCAACCUUGAAAUACCACCCUUGUAGUGUUGAUGUUCUAACCUGGGCCCCUAAUCGGGGUUAGGGACAGUGCCUGGUGGGUAGUUUGACUGGGGCGGUCUCCUCCCAAAGAGUAACGGAGGAGCACGAAGGUUGGCUAAGUACGGUCGGACAUCGUACGGUUAGUGUAAUGGCAUAAGCCAGCUUAACUGCGAGACAGACACGUCGAGCAGGUGCGAAAGCAGGUCAUAGUGAUCCGGUGGUUCUGAAUGGAAGGGCCAUCGCUCAACGGAUAAAAGGUACUCCGGGGAUAACAGGCUGAUACCGCCCAAGAGUUCAUAUCGACGGCGGUGUUUGGCACCUCGAUGUCGGCUCAUCACAUCCUGGGGCUGAAGUCGGUCCCAAGGGUAUGGCUGUUCGCCAUUUAAAGUGGUACGCGAGCUGGGUUCAGAACGUCGUGAGACAGUUCGGUCCCUAUCUGCCGUGGGCGUUGGAUGAUUGAGGGGAGCUGCUCCUAGUACGAGAGGACCGGAGUGGACGAACCGCUGGUGUUCGGGUUGUCAUGCCAAUGGCAUUGCCCGGUAGCUACGUUCGGAAUCGAUAACCGCUGAAAGCAUCUAAGCGGGAAGCGAGCCCCAAGAUGAGUCAUCCCUAGGGCCUAGAGCCCUCUGAAGAGCCGUUCGAGACCAGGACGUUGAUAGGCAGGGUGUGUAAGCGUUGCGAGGCGUUGAGCUAACCUGUACUAAUGACUCGAGAGGCUUAACCAU